rnacentral:rRNA from 1 species
AUCAGUGAGCGGAGGAAGCUUCCGUGGGUCCGCCUGCGGAUUGGCCUACAUUCAAACCCUUUGCAGUUGCAAUCAGCGUCUGAAAAAACAUAAUAGUUACAACUUUCAACAACGGAUCUCUUGGUUCUGGCAUCGAUGAAGAACGCAGCGAAAUGCGAUAAGUAGUGUGAAUUGCAGAAUUCAGUGAAUCAUCGAAUCUUUGAACGCACAUUGCGCCCCUUGGUAUUCCAUGGGGCAUGCCUGUUCGAGCGUCAUUUGUACCUUCAAGCUCUGCUUGGUGUUGGGUGUUUGUCUCGCCUCUGCGUGUAGACUCGCCUUAAAACAAUUGGCAGCCGGCGUAUUGAUUUCGGAGCGCAGUACAUCUCGCGCUUUGCACUCACAACGACGACGUCCAAAAGUACAUUUUUACACUCUUGACCUCGGAUCAGGUAGGGAUACCCGCUGAACUUAAGCAUAUCAAUAAGCCGGAGGAAGUCUCGGUAGGCUCAUCCUUAGAACAUCGGUAGGAAAAAAGGGAAUG